rnacentral:rRNA from 1 species
GACGAACGCUGGCGGCGUGCCUAAUACAUGCAAGUAGGACGCAGUUGCGAUCGGGUGAGUAAUGCGUCGGUAACUGCCUAUCAGAGGGGGAUAACUAUUGGAAACGAUAGCUAAUACCGCAUACUAGUAGAUGGACCUGCGUUGUAUUAGCUAGUAGGGCGGGUAAUGGCCUACCUAGUCGACGAUACAUAGCCGACCUGAGAAGGUGAUCGGCCGCACUGGGACUGAGACACGGCCCAGACUCCUACGGGAGGCAGCAGUGGGGAAUCUUCGGCAAUGGGGGGAACCCUUGCCGAGCAACGCCGCGUGAGUGAAGAAAGUUUGCGGAUCGUAAAGCUCUUUUGUUAAGGAAGCGGUACUUAACCAAAAAGGGACGGCUAACUACGUGCCAGCAGCCGCGGUAAUAC